GGAUUUCACUAGUGGGUUCCUUUCGCCCAUUAGGUCCCUAGAAUUCAGUCAGAUUCUUGAUUCCAUGAUUAUGAACAGACCUAGGGUUUCUAGAAUUUGAACAGAUCAUCAUGAGUUAGUUAUUUAAAUUGUUCCUAAAUCAGAUUAUCAUGUUAUUGCUCAGUUUAUCGCAUGAAUUUCAGAACCCUAGCUAUGUAUUUCUUUAGUUCUUGAAUUACACAUGCUAGGUCAGAUAUUUCAGUAUUCAGUUUUACAUGCCUCAGUUUAUGAAUGCAUUAUUAUCAGAUUAAUUGUUGCAUUCUCAGUUUGCAUGUUUAGUUUCGAGCUAUCCAGUAUUUACAGAAAUUCAGUCAACACUAGUUAACCACUUAAUUCAUCAGGAGUAGCAUAAUACCGAGUUGGACUAGGGUUUCAGCGUACCCAUAUAGUCCCAGAACUACGAGCCACGUAGGUGUAAGUCCCCUCUGUGGGCAACAUCAGUUUAGUGAUCACGCCAGCAUGCCUCUAUACCUCUGGCAGGGUAUAUUGGGUCCUCUCGAUGGGGCGUAUACAUCGGACUCCACAUUUAGCUCAUGUGGUUUUAUGUCGGUUAUUAGUAGCUCCCACAGUUCAGUCAGACUCUAUUACAUUGACCAUAUUUCAGUACAGUCAGUAUUCAGUCUCAGCAUGUUAUAAAUUUGGUCAUUGCAUCAGUUAGCUCAGUAUUCAGUAUUUUCAGUAUCUAUAUCAUGUUC
rnacentral:lncRNA from 1 species